GCAAGUCGAGCGAGACGGUCGAGAUGGAUUCUUCGGAUGAAGUGUUGACUAGAAAGCGGCGGACGGGUGAGUAACACGUGGGUAACCUGCCCCAUAUACAAGGAUAGCCAUUGUAAACGAUGAUUAAUACCUGAUAAAACAGUUGAAUCACAUGAUUUGACUGUCAAAGAUUUAUCGGUAUGGGAUGGACCCGCGUCUGAUUAGCUAGUUGGUAAGGUAACGGCUUACCAAGGCGACGAUCAGUAGCCGACCUGAGAGGGUGAUC
rnacentral:rRNA from 1 species